rnacentral:tRNA from 1 species
CUAAGGAUAAAGUUAUCAUCUUCAGUUUUGAGAGACUUAAGAAAGUUUUUCAUUUUUUAAGAUUCGGGCCUAUAGCUCAGCUGGUUAGAGCACACGCCUGAUAAGCGUGAGGUCGGUGGUUCAAGUCCAUUUAGGC